CCUACGGGAGGCAGCAGUGAGGAAUAUUGGUCAAUGGGCGGGAGCCUGAACCAGCCAAGUCGCGUGAGGGAAGACGGUCCUAUGGAUUGUAAACCUCUUUAGGCGGGGAGCAAUGCCGGGCACGCGUGCCCGGAGGGAGAGUACCCGCAGAAUAAGCAUCGGCUAACUCCGUGCCAGCAGCCGCGGUAAUACGGAGGUUGCGAGGGUUAUCGGGAUUGAUGGGGUUUAAAGGGGGCGUAGGCGGAUUUUUAAGUCGGCGGUAAAAGCGCGGGGCUCAACCCGGGCCUGCCGUUGAAACUGGGGGUCUUGAGUGGGCGAGAAGUAGGCGGAAUGCGUGGUGUAGCGGUGAAAUGCAUAGAUAUCGCGCAGAACUCCGAUUGCGAAGGCAGCAUGCCGGCGCCCGACUGACGCUGAGGCACGAAAGCUUGGGGAUCGAACAGGAUUAGAUACCCGUGUAGUC
rnacentral:rRNA from 1 species